rnacentral:tRNA from 1 species
UCCCCGAUAGCUCAGUCGGUAGAGCACCUGACUGUUAAUCAGGUUGUCCCUGGUUCGAGCCCAGGUCGGGGAGCCA